GUAGUGAUUACGUCGGCAGGAGUGUUGACGUUUAUUUGAAGGAUACGGAAGCUAUGAAUAGUAAAAAAAAAAUAAUUAGUGGAAUAAUAAGGAAUAGAUUUUAGUGACUUAUUUGCAUAUUGGAAUGUUUUAAUAAAGGGUGCUUGGUGUGUCUAUUUAAUGACUAUAUGCUACUACAAAACUCGAUGCGCGUGAGGGCUUUGGCUCUAACUGCAACGCGCCAUAUUGGUUUAAGACAAUUGCUCGUGUUAAUGGGGGCCUGACUGAUACAACUUUUCUAUCAAAUCAACGUAGAAUUAUUUAUUUCAAAUCAUGGAGGAAACCAAAAUAAUUUACCAUAUUGACGACGAAGAGACACCUUAUUUGGUUAAACUGACUAUUUCGCCGGAGAGGGUGACUUUGGCAGAUUUUAAAAAUGUCCUCAACCGACCGAAUUAUAAGUAUUUCUUCAAAUCAAUGGACGAUGACUUCGGGGUUGUAAAAGAGGAGAUUGUAGACGACGAUGCACAUCUUCCAUGCUUCAAUGGACGAGUAGUCUCAUGGUUGGUUUCUGCUGAGGGCAGUAAUGUGUCGGAUGGAGUUUCACAUUGCACUGAUUCUGUAGCACAUAGUGAAGUAAAGCACGAUCGCAUUGAUCAUGUAACACCAGGUCAUACAAAUCGUGGUCCACCACCGCUUUCGCACGAUGAUACCUUAACAGAAACUGAAAGUAUUAUAAGUAGCCGACAAGGUCAUCAUUUACAUAAAAGUUCAAGACAUCAUACAGACAAAUAUGAAAAAUAUAAUAAAUACAAUGGAUUGCGAAUAAAUGGUCAUUCUAAGCAUCGUUCCGGUCAUGGCUAUGAAACAGCCUCAAUAUUGAGCUCAGAUUUGGAAACGACAACAUUUUUAGAAUCGGACGAUGAUGCGAGUAGUCGUAUUACAUCGACAACAGGUCGUCAUACUAAUAUGAGUAGUGCAGUUGACAGAGCAACUUUAGAUCGACGUAGACCUCAAAGAAGAAGAAGACACAGAUUACCUCCUAUGUCUCGAACAUCUUCAUUUAGCAGUAUCACAGAUAGCACAAUGUCUUUGAAUAUCAUAACGGUCUCAUUAAAUAUGGAUACUGUAAAUUUCCUUGGAAUAAGUAUCGUUGGCCAAAGUAACAAGGGUGGAGAUGGAGGAAUUUAUGUUGGAUCUAUAAUGAAAGGGGGAGCUGUAGCCUUAGAUGGCCGAAUAGAACCCGGUGAUAUGAUUCUUCAAGUUAAUGACAUUAAUUUUGAGAACAUGUCUAAUGACGAAGCGGUAAGAGUUCUACGUGAAGUCGUCCAAAAACCAGGACCAAUCAAGUUAGUUGUUGCUAAAUGUUGGGAUCCAAAUCCAAAAGGUUAUUUUACCAUACCAAGAACAGAGCCGGUGCGUCCUAUAGAUCCAGGUGCAUGGGUGGCACAUACAGCAGCUAUACGAGGCGAAGGUUUCCCACCUCGUCCACCAAGUGCAACAACAUUAACAUCCACAUCGAGUAGUCUUGCUAGUACUCUACCUGAUACAGAACGACCACUAGAGGAACUCCACCUUACCAUUAAUACAGAUAUGCCAACAAUAGUACGUGCUAUGGCACGUUCUGAUUCGGGUCUAGAAAUUCGUGAUCGCAUGUGGCUUAAAAUAACAAUUCCGAACGCAUUUAUUGGGGCAGAUGUUGUUGAUUGGCUUAGCACACACGUAGAAGGAAUUAUUGAUCGUCGUGAAGCCAGAAAAUACGCAUCAUUGAUGCUAAAAGCUGGAUUCAUCAGACAUACUGUGAACAAGAUCACGUUUUCCGAACAAUGUUAUUACAUAUUUGGUGAUUUGUGUUCUGCUAUGAGCAGCAUGAAAUUGGACUGUGACACGGUUGGACCUUUACCACCUCCUAAUGCUUGGGACAUGCCUUACUCAGGGACAUAUGCACCUCAUUCUGCGACUGGUUACAGUCCAAUGCCAUUUAAUUUUACUAACGAACCAACUGUAUAUGGAUAUCACAGAGAAGAAAGUGUUCAUAGUGGUUCAGGUGGUAGCAGUGCAGGUAGUGAACAUAUUUGUAAGGAACCUAUCCACGACUUGAAGUCUUGUUCUUCAGCAUCUGAAUCAGAAUUACAUAUCCCAUCUGUGCCAAGUAUGCCAAGUAAGAAUUCUGGUAAUGGGAAUGGUUCGAAUGGUAAAAGGUCUAAUGGAAGCCAUAGUCGGUCCAGUGGGUCCGAACAAUCGGUACAGACAGGAACUGGUUCAGGAACUCAACAAAAUCAACAAGACUUAUCUGGGUGACGUAUGCACGAAGAAUGUCGCACGCGGACAAGUAAUUUGGACAACAAUACCAGAGAUAAUAUUUAUGAAGAAGACAUUUUGGAGUACCAGUUUCUGCAUAAGUGAAGAUAUUUGUUAUAACGUAAUACGUAUACGUAAUGACAUUAAUAGACGUAAACAGGAAGUUAUGAUAUAAUUCUACGUCGUUUUAUUAAAUGGACGGAAGUAGCACACGCGAAACAUAUGUUUAUAUAUUUAAUAGGCCAAUUUUGAUAAAAUGCUGUAGAAGGUAAAAUGUCCAAGCUCAUGUAAUAACGGUUUAUAAUGUCUAUACAUAAUAGAGUUAAGGUCAUUGAAAUCUCUAUGUGACAAAUGUGUCCUUUUUUGAAAUGUUGUUACGGUUUGUGUUAAUUCAUACAAAGCAUUUGCAAUACUAGGGGUUGUAUUAUUUAUGCAGUAUUCUUUAUAUACAUAUACGACGCAUAUGCGUAUAUAUAUUUAAGGAAUAAAUAUAUAUAUAAUAAGUAUAUAUAUAUUACAAAUUACUGCAAAUACGUGCAGAUCGAUAGAGCUUAUUAAUUUUUAUAAGUACAUCCAGUACUGACUCCUCUGUUUAAUAACGCGUUUGAAAAAUCUCAUAAUUUUCAUCAAUUAUUAUUAAUAAUUAUACUUCUGUAGCUUUUCAUUAUUAGAGAGUAAUUUUUCUUUUCAAAUUAAUUCAAAUGCUAUAUAUGCAUCGUUAAAUCUUAGUUAUUUUCUUUUUCAAUUUAUAAACAAGAAGAGAUUUUUGAUGUAAAAUGAUAAAAAAACAUUUGAUAAAUUCACGAAUACAACUAUGUAUAAAUUGUUUGCAUAUACGACAAUAUAAUUAAAGCCCAUCGUAGAAAAAAAAAUCGUAAUAAAACAAAAGUAUCAAAUUUACAGAAUGUGAACGGACGAUUUAUACACGUAUAAACGAUAUAUUUUCCAAGAUGGAAAACAUCUUGUAGCAUUAAAAUUAAUUGUGAUAUUACAACAAUUUCGAACGAAUUUUAAAAGUGCAACAAAAAGAAUUAGUUACGAUAAAACUAAAGAAAAUAUUUCGGACUAAUCUAUGUAGCCAGCCCUUACGUACAUAAGCAUACAUACAGCAGACAGCAGACAUACUUCAUUCCGAUUUUUAAUGAGUCGUAAAAGUGAUUUUUUAAGUGCGCAUACUGAAAACUCAUGGAAAACUCACUUAUAUGUAUACGCAUAUAUAAACACAUAUAGAUAUACAUAUUAUAUUUAUUUAUAAAGGAAUGUAUAUAAAUUUUUUAUUGUUUUUACCUAAAAUUCUUUAUGUGUAUAACUUGCGUGGAAACAACUCGUGCGUUUUUGAACCGCUGUGAGUAUUACGUAAUAAAGUAAUUAA
rnacentral:misc_RNA from 1 species